rnacentral:sRNA from 1 species
ACACUGAGAGGAGCAUACAGCUUGAGAAAUAUAAUUGAGUUAGUCAAGAGUGAAGACGUGGUGGGUGGCUACUACAACUUAUUCAAACGUUGUUGAAACACUGUUACACUAGGUAUUUGACGGCCAAAGUGAUCUCACUGUUGAGUCCUCGGUCUCAGAAAUUCAUGGGAAUCCAAAACGUCUUCAGUAUUAGGGGUUAGGAUGAUCAGGGCAGUUGUUUAUAUACAUGUUUAACUAGCUAUAUAUUCAUUCUUCUGGGCAAAUCUUUUGCAUCAACUCAUUCAAGCGAGACUAGAAAUUACGUUAUAGCACAUUAGUGUCAAAUCGCUCACCC